AGAAACAAUUUUUAGGCAAAGCAUAAACAACAAAUUUCAAAAUCUGAACUCAAUUUUAUUUAAAACAUUAAAUUAAAAUACAGGUAAAGAGAGUAUUGAAAUAACAAGCAAAAGUGGGUAAAAUCCUUUACUUUUAUGCAAUAAGAAAGUUCAACUAGAACAGGGUAGUCCCUUGUAAGUGACUGAAUUCACAUACACUCUCAAAACUCAACCAUCAAAAAGGCACCACUGCAAAACCAAGCAUCUAAAACAUGAUCCCUCAAUUAAUUAUUUCACUCUAAUUACUAAUAGAAUGAAAAAUCAACAAAAGCACGCAAUCUCACCAAAAGAAGUAGAAUCAGCAAUUGGUGAAAUAAAACUUCUACUAAAAUAUUAAAGCAUACAGUAACUGAUGAAAUAAAACCCAAACUCACCGAAACAAGUUGAAUCAGGAAGUAAAAGCCAGCGACAGAAAAAUCUUGAGUGUUUUCCAAAGCUCCCUUUUUUCUCCUAUGCUUCUAUGGCUUCUGUUUUGUGCCUAAGUAUGAUAUUCCACUUCUCCACAAGUACUCAAUUCUGGGGUUCCACGACCAAGAGAGAUUUGAUCAUCUGAAGCCAAAUGUGAAUUAUCUUCACAAAUUUCGCAUCCCUCGCAUUUUGACAAAUCUAUGAAAGUCACAACCCUCUUCCAAUUGAACUAAGACAUGAAUGAGAGUUAAUUUCACUGCAUUUUG
rnacentral:misc_RNA from 1 species